UACGUAGGUGGCAAGCGUUGUCCGGAAUCAUUGGGCGUAAAGCGCGCGUAGGUGGCUUCGUAAGUCCGCUGUGAAAGUCAAAGGCUCAACCUUUGAAAGCCGGUGGAUACUGCGGGGCUAGAGUACGGAAGAGGCGAGUGGAAUUCCUGGUGUAGCGGUGGAAUGCGCAGAUAUCAGGAGGAACACCAAUAGCGAAGGCAGCUCGCUGGGACGUUACUGACACUGAGGCGCGAAAGCGUGGGGAGCGAACAGG
rnacentral:rRNA from 1 species